GGUUAAGUGAAUAAGGGCGCACGGUGGAUGCCUUGGCACUAGGAGCCGAUGAAGGACGGGACUAACACCGAUAUGCUUCGGGGAGCUGUAAGUAAGCUUUGAUCCGGAGAUUUCCGAAUGGGGAAACCCAGCAUCUUUUAUAGGAUGUUACUUUUCAGUGAAUACAUAGCUGAUUAGAGGUAGACGCAGAGAACUGAAACAUCUAAGUACCUGCAGGAAGAGAAAGAAAAAUCGAUUCCCUGAGUAGCGGCGAGCGAAACGGGAAAAGCCCAAACCAAGAGGCUUGCCUCUUGGGGUUGUAGGACUCCGAUAUGGUAGUCCAGUGAGAUAGUCGAAGGACCUGGAAAGGUCUGCUAGAAAGGGUAAAAGCCCCGUAGACAAAAUUUGACUGGCACCUAGGAGGAUCCUGAGUACGGCGGAACACGAGGAAUUCCGUCGGAAUCCGGGAGGACCAUCUCCCAAGGCUAAAUACUCCCUAGUGACCGAUAGUGAACCAGUACCGUGAGGGAAAGGUGAAAAGCACCCCGGAAGGGGAGUGAAAUAGAUCCUGAAACCGUGUGCCUACAACAAGUUAGAGCCCGUUAAUGGGUGAUAGCGUGCCUUUUGUAGAAUGAACCGGCGAGUUACGAUUACUUGCGAGGUUAAGUUGAAAAGA
rnacentral:rRNA from 1 species